UACGGAGGGAGCAAGCGUUGUCCGGAUUUACUGGGUGUAAAGGGUGCGUAGGCGGCUUAGUAAGUCAGAAGUGAAAUCCAUGGGCUUAACCCAUGAACUGCUUUUGAAACUGCUAAGCUUGAGUGGAGUAGAGGUAGGCGGAAUUCCCGGUGUAGCGGUGAAAUGCAUAGAUAUCACGCAGAACCCCGAUUGCGAAGGCAGCAUACCGGCGCCCGACUGACGCUGAGGCACGAAAGUGCGGGUAUCGAACAGG
rnacentral:rRNA from 1 species